UCAGUAAGUUCAAGGCCAGCCUGGUGUAAAAGGUCUGAGUGGAGGUACAUGUCCUUACAAGAUAGUGAUGGACAGCAUCAGUUGGCCUGCUCAGGUCACAGCUGGACCACACUUGGCCGGCACAUCGACACACUUGAGCGGCUAGGGAUGCGUGAAAGUGAUGCGGUGUUUCCACUUGGUCUGGAGUAGCUGCAGGGAGAGCUUUAUCGAGUUGAGAGAAGUGGUCCUUCAACUCCUGAGGGUAGAAUGAGGUGAAAGAGUAGGCUGAGAUGCUGGUGGUGGUGUGAGGAAAUGAUCACCUGACAUGGAUGCUGUGGGAAGUCACUGAGACACACAGCAUUCGUGACUUCCAGGCUGCCGUGGACUGUAUCCUCCAGCUCUCCUGGCAAUGGGAAGCUCAGGGCCAUUGAUCAAGGCUAUUUUCAAGCAGGACUUGUUAAGCAUACUUACUGAGUAAAUGGAAUUUUUUUUUAAAGAGCUAGAACAUUCCAGAGCGUUCCUGAAGAGAUCUUCAGCAAGCUUGCUGAUAUCCUUGAAGAAAGGCACAUUACUUCACGGUUUCCCCCAUGGACGUCGCACAGAACAUCAAGCAAACCCUCUGGGCAUGCUGGUGGAAGCCUCCAGACGAAGUCGGCUCCUGGCUUAAGCAAGCACUGUUUGCUGACCUCUGACCUACGUACCCCGGCCCAGAAGGGAUUCAACCCCUGAUCUUGAUUUAUGGCACUCACAGGUAAGCUAAGCUUUGCAAAUAUUUUGUGUUAUUUUUACCAAUUAUGUAAACUUUUAUCCAAUUGGGGGAUCCCCGUCAUGAGCGAGAGGAAGGGCAGAAGCUGCGGCUUCCCAUUUUCACCCCAGGUGCCACUUUCGGGGCCACCCACUGAGGGGAGGCAGAGGGGAGACUUCCAUCUCACUGUUUUCCUCUGUAAGGGUGUUUGUCUGGAAGUGUGCGCCACAGCGGCCAGGAAAGGGCACUGUGUCCCCUGGGACUAGAGUCACAGAUGAGCUGCCAUGUGGGCGCUGGGGAUUAACCCCUGAUCCUCUAGCAGAGCAGUCAGUGCUCUGGACCAGGAAGACAUUUCCCAAGCCUCAGGACAUUCCCAUCUGAGGGUGGGGUAGCCCCUGGGGAAGUUGGAAGAGAGGCGGGCCCAGAGCAGUGGGAGACCAGGCCGCCCUUCACAAACCAGUACGGGAGUUCUCUCAGGCGGACUCCAAGGGGCAUUUGACAAUGCUUGGUAAGUUUUGUGGUUCUCCCCUUUCUUGAGAUAGGCUCUUGUCCUGUAGCCCUGGCCGGCUCGGUACUAUGGUAGUCUAGGCUAACCUCAAACUGGCAAUCCUCCUGCCUCUGCCUCCAGAGUACUGAGGUUACAGGUGUGAGCCGUCACACUUGGCUAGUAAUGUUAGUAAACACCUUAAAAGGCACAGGGCAGUCCUCAGAACAAAAGUUGUUCAAAAGACCGACAAACCCCAGCUGGGCUCAGUAAGAGAUGCUCCCUGUGUGGUGUCUUUUCUUUCUCCCCCUCUUUGUCUUUUUUUUUUUUUUUUUUUUGUUUUUUUUUUUUUUUUUUUUUUUAAGAUAGGACCCCUAAGCUGACCUUGUGAUCCUCCUGCUACAGCAUUUUGAGUAGUGUGUAGUUUACUUCUAAUAAAAUAGUCCACACUGGAGCCUGGGAUACAGCGUGUGGUCAAGUGAGGAAUUCUGGAGUCAGUUCCCAGCACAAAACAAUAAUCGAAUGGGGUCCACCUUUGCCUUGGAUCCACUCACUCAGAGCUGGGGUACAGUGGUGGACACCUGUGAUUCCAGCACCUGGAAGCUGAGGCAGGAAGGCUGCUGAAAGGCCAGGGCAAGAUCCUGUCCCCAAAACCAAAAAUCAGUCAGGCAGGCAGGGGUGGAGAGCUAACUCUGGUUAAGAGUACUUCCUGCUCUACCCGGAGGACUUGAGUUGGGUUCGGAGCAUGGACGUCUGGUGUCUCCCAACCACCUGCAACUCAAGCUCGUGGGAUCCGAUGCCCUCUGCUGGCCUCCAAGGGUACCUGCACUUGUGUGCACAUCCCUCCACACAUACAUACACAUAAUUAAAAUAAUAAAAAUCUUUUUAAAAAGUCAGCUGUUGUAGGGGAGAGGCUCUGGUUAGGAGGAGCUACGUGACAGGGGCCACACAGCCUCGAAAGUGGAGUGAUGUCCUAACCUUGUUUACAUCAUCUGUAGUGACCACACAGAAACCGAUCUCUAGUGCCCUCCUAGUUCCCAAAUUCUCCAAAUCCUGUACUUUUGACAUUCCUUUUUCUCUCUUUUAUUUUAUUAGGCAGAGUCUCAAUAGUCCAGGUAGGCCUAGAACUCACAACGUAGCUAAACUUCUGAGUUCAGAGAUUAUAGUCAUGCACCACCACCAGUGUAUACAGUUGCAUGUAGGGCUUUCUUUCUGUAUGCUAGGGAGGCACUUCACCAACUGAGACCCAGCCUCUGCACUCCCUGGCUGUGGCACUGAGCCUUGGGACUCAUGCACGCCAGGCAAGCACUGUUACUGAGCCCCCAGGAGCUCCCCUUCUGCUCUCCCCUCCCCUCCCCUUCCCUCCCCUCCCCUCCCCUGGUCUCCUCUCAGAUCUCACUGUGGUGCCCGGGCCGACCUCACACUGGGUUCCAGUCAUUCCCCUGCCUCCGGCUUCUAAGAAGCUGCCCCUACAGCCAUGUUCCACCACACCCAUCGUGGGUAUUUCUUGUAAGUUUUGGGUCAAUAGAAGAGGAAGUGACUCAGAAAUCCAAUAGAGGAAGCUGGACAAUGACUCAGAUUUUCCUAAUCAUAAAAAGCAUUUUGACAUGACCCUUAAUGUCAAGUAAGACUCAUGACAAUUGAGUAUCCCCAGGACUUUCCUUUACCCAGCUCAGUUAGUAUUCACAUGGGGUGACUAGUCACAGCUUGUCUCGGCCAAAAAAAAAAAAAAAAAAAAAUCUCCCUCCUAGGUCUGCUGAUGUUUGCAUUCUCUUCCUCUCCAGGGUUUCAUGUAGCCCAGGCUGGUUUCAGACCCCCUGUAGCCAAGGAUGGCUCCUGAGCUUCCUGCUCACACCUCCCAAGUGCUGGAUUACAGCAUCUUCUUAGAGGUGGGACUUAACGUCACCACUCAGCACGCUAAGAGGCAACCACCAAGGAGCUCUGUGGCCAGCACGGAAACGACUUUGAUGGGUUUCAUGUGACCCAGAUGACUGGAACCUCACAGGUGGCUAAAGAUGACCCUGAACUGCUGACCCUUCUACCUCAUCUGGAUGACAGGAGCGUGCCACCCUGUGCCACCCUGUGCCAUCCUGUGGCUCUUCCAACACCCUCUUAUUUAUUGAAACCCUGGCGCUUGGACUCAGGCCUUCCUAGGAAAAGGCUCUGCUGCCGAGGUAGCCCUCCGCACCUGGACAUUUGCACACCGCCCUUCCUGCUUCAGAGGUGGUUCCAUCAGAAGCUCCUCUACACGUUCGGUCCUGUCCUACACUAGGACAGACCCCAGCUUCAUCCGUUCCUCCCCAGGCUCACACAGUAUCCCACUGACUCAGUUCUCCAAGUCCCUUCAUUGUUUCUAAAUUAGAUUCUUUAAUUUUCCCUUUGUAAAAAGUACAUUUGUGUCCGGAGGCAGACUCAGUUAAGGGUGCAAGCAUGCAGCCCCAGGUCCAAGGCCUAGCAUCACAUAAACCCCCGUGAUUUGGCUUACUUACGUCUAUCAUCACUUAGGAGGGAGAGGCAGGAGAUCAAGACCAUUCUCAGAUACAUGGACUAGCCUGGGCUGUAGGACACCCUGUCUCAACAAGAACAAAAUAAAAAGUAAAAAGAAAAGCAUCUCUAAUUAAGCUGCUCAGGAUCAGUGAAAUGAUGAGGAUGAGGGGAAGAGGGAUGCAAUGGGGUGAAUAUGAUAACCAAAAGUUGCAUCAGAGCUAAAGUUAACCUGCAAGUCCCACUUGCCCAAGGACAAAAUAACUUCCUGGAAUGCUGGGAGCUGCAGUCCUUGGGAAAUAACAAGCCACAUGUUUUACUCCCCUAAACAAGACUGCCUGAACCAGCUAUACCACCGAAUGUGAUCGACCACAUGCAGGUGAGAGAUACACAGGCAGGAAAUUGUGCAUCAGGAUGCAUGCUUGCCCCAUGGGAAAUGUGGUGAAUUGUGAGGUUUGUCCUUUUAUGCCCCUGCAAAACGUGACCUGUGGCCAUUCCCUGGGAAUCCAGGGAUAGUCCUGGCCAGAGUCCAUCAACCUGGCCAGUAUUUAAUUAAAGCUUGCUUCAAAU